rnacentral:rRNA from 1 species
CUACCACAUCCAAGGAAGGCAGCAGGCGCGCAAAUUACCCAAUCCCGAUACGGGGAGGUAGUGACAAUAAAUAACAAUACAGGGCUUUUCAGUCUUGUAAUUGGAAUGAGUACAAUUUAAAUCUCUUAACGAGGAACAAUUGGAGGGCAAGUCUGGUGCCAGCAGCCGCGGUAAUUCCAGCUCCAAUAGCGUAUAUUAAAGUUGUUGCAGUUAAAAAGCUCGUAGUUGAAUUUUAGGCCCGGUUGGACGGUCUGCCUUUGGGUUUGUACUGUCCUGACUGGGCCUUACCUUCUGGUGAGCUGUCGUGUUGUUUACUCAGCGCGGCAGGGAACCAGGACUUUUACUUUGAAAAAAUUAGAGUGUUUAAAGCAGGCAUUCGCUUGAAUACAUUAGCAUGGAAUAAUAGAAUAGGACUUUGGUUCUAUUUUGUUGGUUUCUAGGACCGAAGUAAUGAUUAAUAGGGAUAGUUGGGGGCAUUAGUAUUUAAUUGUCAGAGGUGAAAUUCUUGGAUUUAUGAAAGACUAACUUCUGCGAAAGCAUUUGCCAAGGAUGUUUUCAUUAAUCAAGAACGAAAGUUAGGGGAUCGAAGACGAUCAGAUACCGUCGUAGUCUUAACCAUAAACUAUGCCGACUAGGGAUCAGACAAGGAUA